AAUCCAGGAUAAACUCUCCAUUUCAACAUCCUUAACUUCAUCAUAUUUUAAAACUCGCUUUUAUCGUAGGUAUGAGGGAUCGGCUCAUGGACAUGUUAGGCAGUUAGAAUAGGCUAAAGGAGUCCAAAAUGGCGGUGGCUAAAAGACAAGGAAGGGAAAAGCCCACGAAAAUAGAACAGAAGAAGGUCAAAGGAAGGUCCGAGGACUAGAGUGAGGACUUCAGGUAGAACAGCACUCCUGACUAAGCCCAAGUUGCAUAGGGCAGGCCCAGGGGGAAGAAGAAACAUAAAAAGAAGAGCCAAAGGGCCUCCCUCUCUCUCCCCCAACCACCCCGCGUGCUGGGGCAUUCUUCUCUUCGUGUCUUUGGAUCCUUCUCUUCGUGUCUUUGGAUUGACGUGCCCUCACACCUUGAAGAUGGAUUUUCCUGCUAUCUUCUAAAUAAAAUCGAGCUGUCACGCUGAUUUGUCUAAGAGCUAUAACACGGUCCAUUCAAGACCUGAGAGCUAUAACAAAGUCUGUCCAAGAUCCGAGAGCUGUGACACGCCGAGGGGGCUUUAAUGUCCGUCACCCCAAAUCUUUGUUGUGAUGAGGCAGAAACCGAGGAGCACACGCUCGCCUGACGUCUAUGAUGCCGUGAUUCGGGUUUAACCUGGCUGAAAUAACCUCCGCGCGGAAGAGGCCAAGCACAGCGGGAGCCCGACUCAGCGAAGCUCCCGCGGUAGAAGCGGAACUCAAAGAAAACCCAACGCAGGGGAAGGCCCAUCAUGCUGGAAACCGGGACAGCGAAAAACAAACUGAACAGAAAGCUCACGCGGCUCAGUCUCAGAUUCCAGACCUCUGGUUAAGAAACCUUGGACCACUGGACAAAACCCCCAAGAAGCAUUGUCAGAAGAUCCUCUGACCAACCCUGAGGAAAUCUGGUACACUGAUGGAAGCAGCUUUGUCUUAGAUGGAAGAAGAAGAACUGGGAACGUGGAGCUGGUCUUACCCAAAUUAAACCAGUCAAGACCAUGGAUUGAGUGACUGUUCAAUAGAUGACCUUUUGACAUCAGAGGGCCAAAAACGUCACCCUCAGAUCAUGUUGCUGCUGCUGCUGCUGCUGCUGCUGCUGCUAAGUCGCUUCAGUCGUGUUCGACUCUGUGCGACC